rnacentral:rRNA from 1 species
AUUGAACGCUGGCGGCGUGCCUAACACAUGCAAGUCGAGCGGUAACAGGUGUAGCAAUACAUGCUGACGAGCGGCGAACGGGUGAGUAAUGCUUUGGAAUCUUCCCAGUAGUGGGGAAUAACCAGUCGAAAGAUUGGCUAAUACCGCAUACGUCUGUAAAGGGAAAGCGGGGGACUCGCCUCUUCUUCGGAAGAGAGGCCUCGCGCUAUUGGAUGAGCCAAAGCGGAUUAGCUAGUUGGUGGGGUAAUGGCCUACCAAGGCGACAAUCCGUAGCUGGUCUGAGAGGAC